CAGGAUUGCCACUGAAAGUUUUGAAUGCCUCCAAUAAUUGCUCUGAAAAUGCUACAGGAUGCUCUCCUUUCCUCAUGUGCACAUCAGAUAUCCCAGUUAAUGGACAUCACACCUAGGACUUCAAGCAGUGCCUGCUUCCUCUCUAACUUAUUGGCAGUUUUAGUUUUGACUUUCUGAUUUAACGCUCCAGACAAAGUGUCAGGCAAACACACAAUUAACAGCACACAUGCAUCACCAUCUGUGAAUUUGUAAAUAUCUGCAUAUUGCUCCAGAACUUUAAGAAAAUCUAAUGGAUCUUGUUUGGCAGGAUCAAAUUUACCAAUACUUUUAAUCACAGCUUCUAGCUCAUUGGGAUUAAACCCUCUGACCAUAGUAGAGGUCAUUGGUUCCUCCUCUUCUUCAUUAGCACGCAUAGUCAUAGUCAAGUGAACUGGAGCCAUGGGGAACUUAACUGUACAGUCAGAGUAUUGACUGCUGACUGACUGAGAAUCUCUUUCUGAGUUCCCAUCACUGUCUAACAUGUCAGUAACUUGAUUACUCCACAUACCACAUACAAAUGUUUUACUGGUGCUAAUUUCAGUUUUGCCAUUUUUUAAAAGGAAUUGACAAGCAGACUUUGCUUCCUCUAAAUCUUUGAACAGUGUUUCCACAGAUGAACUAAGCAUGCUGUUGUUAGUUCUAAGGUGUACAAUUUCAUUCUGCAUCCUAAUCUUUUCUUCUUUCCAGAUUAUCUCACUAGUCUGGUAAUCUCUUUUAGAGAUUAUCCCAUCAUCUAGUCGAGAUUGCAUUUGCUCGUUUUCAGACUUUAAUGCAUUUAAAGUCUUUCUAGUGACUUUAUACGAUGCAAGAACUGCUUGCAGUGCAUUGGCAAUCUGUCCUUUUUUGUUCUUGGGCAUUUUAGGGUAAUUUUCAAACUUAGAAAUAGCCCACUCAUACGGUUUAUCCACAGUGUUCUCUAUUCCAUCAAACAUUCCCUGAGAACUGUGUUUAGCGAUGUACUUAACAAUCAGCUGUUCCAUUUUUAGAAACUCACAGCUUUCCUUAAAUCUUAGUCUUUAAACUUUGCACAGUUUAUGUGACUAUAAGCUAUCUAGUUAACCGUUAGUCUAUCUAUUCACAGCUCCAGUACUUCGGACACAAAUGAACAAAACAGCCACAAUACGUCGGGCUUUUAAACUCAAAAGUCUCACUGCUUCGGACACAGACACACUCUGUCUGGUCUCGAGGUCAACUACAGUAACAAUUAACACUCACAACUCUCAAACAGAACGACUCACAAACAGUAACACACAAACUCACAAACAGUUUAAAACAUAACACAGUCACAGUACGUCGGACAAAACCACAGUACGUCAGGUUUUUGUUAUAUUUUAAAACAGUCUUCUUAGCCACAGCACUUUUGGACUUAAAAAAAUAGUUUAACACUGUCACAGUACGUCGGACAAAACCACAGUACGUGGGGUUUCUUUGCAUUAAAACCAAAGGUGUAAAGGAAGUUUUAUUUACAAUAAAUUAUGGCAUGUUUUUGAGUGGUGUGUGUGUGUGUGCACGCGUUGGUGCGGCCGGAUUAUGAGGACAAAUGACCUGAAUACGUACCAGCACUAUGAGGACACACCAUAACAAUGAGGACAGUGCCGAUGUCCUCAUAAUUCGAGCAGUGUAGCAUGACUCAUGAGGGUGUGCUGAACCUCCUCCCGCGUUUUCUUUAAAAGUCCUCAUAACUCGGUUGUACCAGUUUCGGAGUGUGUCCAGUGUAUGUUCCGUGUGUAUAAUUUCCCGCUAUUGCAGCUCAUUAAAAUUUCAGCCAAUCAGUUCUAUGUGGUGUGAAAUCCUCGUCAGCGAUUGGCUGUGGUUAAUGUCCGUCAAAGUCAGCGCUGCGUAGGCGUGGUGCGGAAUCCUCGUCAGCGAUUGGCUGCAUUGAAUGUCAGUCAAAAUCAGUGCAAAUCAGCUGCAGACGCGACGUGUUGUGGAGAAAUUAAUUCUAAUUAAGUUAAUUAGCUGAAUUACAGCGAACUUCACCACAGAAGAGUGUCACUUCCUCAUGUUAAAGUCAGAAUGGUAAGAAAAAAGAGAGUGAAGCCUGAUCAGGAUUCAAAAGAAACCAUCAUAUCAGGCAAAGACAAAGCCUUCAUUGAGGGACGAGAAAUUGACACAUUUAAAGGGAGGGGUGUGUUUGCUCUGAAACAUAUUGAACCAUCCACCUUUGUAGUUGAAUACCAUGGGAUUCUCUCUCAAAGUAAACAUGUUAAAGAUUUUCAAAGCAACUACUUGUUUGACUUUACAUGGAAUGGAACAUCUUAUUGCGUUGAUGCUUCAAAAGAGGACGGAAGACUUGGACGACUGGUGAAUGAUGUUCACAGAAAUCCAAACUGUAAAGUAAAAACAAUAAUUGUAAAUGGGACACCACACCUGUGCCUUUUUAGUAUUAGGGAUAUCUUUCCAGGUGAGGAGGUAACUUACAACUAUGGGGAUUCUUCUUGACCAUGGUGUUCAAGGGAAUUAUGUGACGAGACAUCGGUGGAAUUGAGCAGAGUGAAAACAUCCACACCAGAGAAAGAGAACAUAAGUCAGCAUAUUUUGCACCGAAGCAAGAUACUCAUACUUUGCUGCAUAGUACCAAAACAAUUCCAACAUCCACUAAAGACCAGCUACUCUCUGCCUAUUGACCCAACAUGUGAUCCUUAUGGAAUUAUGUGAAGAGACAUCGGUGGAUUUGCAUGAAUGCAGAGUGAAAACAUCCACACCAGAGAAAGAGAACGCAAGUUAGCAUAUUUUCUUUCUUGACCCUGACAGUGUUGGAUGUGGGAGGGUUGAGCAUCAUACCAGACUGUUUUACCUGGACUGCUGUUCUAAAGACGUUGUUGUGACAACUCCCACUUUGAGUAAAAUAUACCUCUCUCUGUUCAUUCACUUCCAUUAGAUGUGUGUUGGGGUAUGGGCGUGACGCUGACAUGAAAUGUAAGGACAGUUUACACUAUGAGGACCGUUAUAUUUUACACACUUGAUGAAAACCUGCCAGGUUGGUUGUGGCAGCAUUUUAAGCUUCAUUUACACCCGGUAUUAAGAUGCGUUUUGUCAGUCUCAUUAGCAGUGGAUAAAGCUAAAUACAGGAGUAAACAAGGUCUAAAAUGCUUUGAGCCUGUCCACUUUCAACCACUUCCAGAGGUAGUGGAAUACACAUCAGAUUGGAUCGUAUUUCAAAGUGUAAACACUCAUGCAGUCGAAUGCAUUCCAACAUCCACUAAAGACCAGCUACUCUCUGCCUAUUGACCCAACACGUGAUCCUUAUGGGACGUCUUCAGAGUAUGUGCACCAAUGCAAGACAUUCAUAGUUUGCUGCAUAGUACCAAAACAUACAGAUUGCAAUACAAAUCGUAGUUGCUAGCCAUGUCCUUUUCAGUUGCUUGCUUUUCUCUAACCCUAGCCUGCUUGUGAACAGCCAUGAUGAAAACAUACACACCAGAGAAAGAGAACGUAAAUUAGUUUACAUUUAAAGUUUAAAGAAUAAACAGCAAUGUUUGUUAAAUUGACUGUAUAGAAAAUUUCCACGAAAGAAAUUCACUGUGAAGUUUACAUAUAAAUGAUAUAAUAAACCAACUUUUUUUGUUUAUUUUUUUUGUUUUGUUUUAUCUUUCUCCCUUACAGUGCCACCAUCAAGUUCACAGUGCAGUUAUCUCCAAUUUGGAUUCUUGUUACGAUUGUAUUGGUCCUGUGUCAAGUCUAAAAUGGCUUGGUUUUACUUGCAAAUGCAAGUAUAUAUGUCUAUACUAUACUUAUAUAUAUAUAUAUAUAUAUAUAUAUAUAUAUAUAUAUAUAUUAUAUAUAAGUAUAUAUAAGUAUAUAUAUAUAUAAUACGGUUGAAUACAUGUACAUGUUUUGUAUCUGUGUUCUUGACCUUUAGAAAACAAAACAGAUUUGUCCUAUAAAUGUUUUUUGUCCAGUUGAAUUAUAAACUGUAUUUUCCAGGCAUAUCCAUUUGUUUCUUUAUUUAUUGUUUUUAAAUAAAUAAAAGAAUCAAUUAAUAGAAACUUGUGCAGUGAUCUGAUUAAUUCUAAACUAAAUACAAGCAGAUUUUUUUCAGUAUGUUCAAGAUCAUGGCACAAAAGCUGUUUCCUGAAGAAUAUGAAAAUGGUAUGUUAAUUUCUUUAGUAUGACACAAACUGUUAACAUUUUUGUUUGUUACAUGAAAACUGUGUUGAACUAUAAGCAAAGUACAGUAUUUCUUAGGUUUUUAAUAAUAACAAGAUUAUUAUUACUGAUGUCUUUUUAGCCAGAGGUUGAAUUUUCAAGUUUAGAAGAAACCAGCUCUUAUGAACAGUAUUCUCCAUGCUCCGAAUCUUUGCUCAUUGAAUUUUCUGAUGGCUUUGUCCCGGACUCUGAACAUAAUAGUGAUGGUGAAAAUAGUCCGUCUAUCAAGACACAGA